rnacentral:lncRNA from 1 species
UUGUGAAGGCUCUGAUGGAUCUGGGAAGGCACUGAUGGAUCAGGGAUGGAUUUGUGAAGGUUCUGAUGGAUCUGGGAAGGCACUGAUGGAUCAGGGAUGGAUCUAGGAAGGCUCUGAUGGAUCUGGGAAGGCACCGAUGGAUCAAGCCCAGCUUCGGGAAGGUUCUGGCAGAUCAGGGAUGUUUUUGGGAAGGUUCUGGUGGAUCAGGGAUCCGGCUGGCACGGCGGGAGCCGGGCAGGCUGGCAGCGCUGGAGCCGUGCGUGGGCACGUUCCCCUCCCGGCAGGCCGAGCCGCCCUGGGCGCUGCAGCGGCCCCUUCUGUGUCCCCCAGCUGCGGCGGCCGCCGAGCACUCGGAGGGGGCUGGCAGAGUGCAGCUGAAGAGGCAGCAGAGCCCCAGCCCCGGGCCGUGCGGCAAGGCCUCCAAGCGAGCCGGAGUCCCGGUGGCCGCUGCGUGCCACGGAGGUGCCGCGGGCACCGGAGCGGCCCUCGGCACGCCGGCUGCAAAAAGGAAAUGAAUUGCAGAAGUAAUCAUGAACCCAAACGAGAAUUGCCUCUUUGCCAGGAGGAGUGCACGAGGAAGGAAGGCAGUUGUACCCCGCAAUGCUGCAAUAAAUAAAUUCCGUGACUUGUCGCAUCCCUGUGUAUUUUGUAAAGUGUCUUGAGCCAAAAAUCCUUGCAAAGCCACCCAGAUCCCAGCAAUCCAUCCCUGGAGCAGGAGGGGAUUAGUGGAGAGAGAUUUGCAGUUGGUGGCAGGGGCCUGAGGUUCCUUAGGGAUUUCGGGAGGCGAUUCCUUCCCCCCUGCCUCUGCCAUUCCAUCAUUUCUGUGUUCUAACUGGAUUUUGCUCCUCCCAGUCUGCCAUUCCUGCAGAAGAUGCUCUGGGAGCUGGAUGGGUACUUGGAAAAAGGGGGAUCCCAGAGGAAUCCCGGCGGAUUUGUGGGGGACAGGGGCUGAGCCUUCUCCUUUUUGUCUUGCAGUUGUCUCCGGGAAGCCGCUGCCCCUGGGCCAAGCCGUGUCCAGCACCAAGGAGCUCUCGGGGCUGCUCUCCACCCCCAAGCUGAGCUCCAGCGCCGAGGCUCCGGCCGGGAUCCCCGGCAGCUCCGCCCCCGGCGCCUUCCACGCCCUGCAGAGCCGGCUGGUGGCCGGCAGCGGCCCCGGCCUGCCCGCCCAGCCGGCCACCGCCCUGCCAGGUACCGCGGCGGGGCUCUCGGGGUCUGCGGGGCCUCUCCCGGCCCUGCCCGGCCCGGCUCGGCUGCGGGGAUUGGGGCCUUUGGGUGGAAAACACCAAAACGCCCAAAGCUGCUGUGCUCCACAGCCACCGCUCUGCAGCUGCAGCAGGAAACGGAGCGGGGCCAGGGGGGCUCGGGGUGGGCUUGGGGACAGGGUCUGUCCCAGGGGAAGAGGUUUUGGGAAUGGUUCUGUCCCCAGGGAAGAGGUUUUGGGAAAGGCUCUGUCCGCAGUGAAGAGGUUUUGGGAAUGGUUCUGUCCCGAGGGAAGAGGUUUUGGGAAUGGUUCUGUCCCCAGGGAAGAGGUUUUGGGAAUGGUUCUGUCCCGAGGGAAGAGGUUUUGGGAAUGGUUCUGUCCUGAGGAAAGAGGUUUUGGGAAUGGUUCUGUCCCGAGGGAAGAGGUUUUGGGAAUGGUUCUGUCCCGAGGGAAGAGGUUUU